rnacentral:lncRNA from 1 species
GCAUAAUAAAUGUUGAGGCUUGGAGGCAUGGAGAUUAAGAAAACCGUUGAAAGCCAAACCUGACAACACAACAUAGGAGCUGCUAAUUUGAGGUUCUACCCAUUCAAAAGCAAAUACUUACAAAGUAUGUUCAGAUACCUGGGAGACAGUGAGAACAGACAAUGCAGUGUCACCUUGCAUCCUUACAUGUGAUGUCCUGGCUACAAUCCUGCCCGUUGUCCUUGGUAUAUGAAUAACACUUCAUCUCAGUUUGUGUGCAGCUUGGUGUAUUAUGGCCUAACUCUGAGUGCGGGUGAUCUAGGUGGAAGUAUUUAUGCCAACCUGGCCCUGUCUGGCCUCAUAGAGAUUCCAUCUUACCCUCUCUGUAUCUACUUGAUUAACCAAAAAUGGUUUGGUCGGAAGCGAACAUUAUCAGCAUUUCUGUGCCUAGGAGGACUGGCUUGUCUUAUUGUAAUGUUUCUUCCAGAAAAGAAAGCACACCUGAGGUAUGACAGUGAUUGCCUUGGGAACUGUGUUUUUGGCCGUGAUUUUCUAGAAGGAGGAGUGAGUCACAACAACUCUCUCAUGCUGGAGCAUGUGAUAUAACAAGAGCCCUGUCUUAGGGGCUUUUGGAUUUUGAUAGGGUUCUGUUAUGGAGCUUGCACUCCAGUAGGCAAUCAUUGUGAGACGAUUUGACGUAAAGUUUUGAUAACUACUGGAAAUGCAUGAAGAAUUCAUUUUUUGUCAGAGUAUAUCAGGUAUUAAAUACUCCUUUUGUAAA